CGCACACGGUACUGUGCAUCAUAUUCCAUUAGACGAGAUGUAAGUCGGGAAGGCUUCUUAUUAAACACCCAGCGCUCUGACAUUCCUCCGCGGCUUCUUUCUCUACUGCCCAAAAGAUCCGAGUUCACUCUGCACGGAGAUUACAUAGAGCUCCUCCACCGGAAGCGCCAUGGCUACGGGCUGCACCAUUUCGAUCGAAGAGCAAAAGAGAGGCUCGCGAAGUCCGCGAGCGAUCCGAUUGUGCCAAAAAGGCUCUUGGUAUCAAGAGGAAGAUGUUCGCAAAGAAACGGUAUUGCUGAGAUGGCGCUGAUGACGAAAACGCUUGCUAUACAAGAGGAGUUGCCAUCUAGGUGGACGGUAGAUGAACCGGUACAUGGGGGAGCUAUUCAUGCAUUUUUUCUGAAUCAUGAUGUUACAAUACAUACGAAGGUAAUCUCGCAUCGUUCCCAUGCAAAGCUACACUAAUAAGCAAAAGAGGAAUGAAAAGGUUGGCAAGUGGGAGCUCCCACUUCCAAAGGUAAACUGCCCGCACGGAUUCUUACAUAAUCUCUCUGUUUAAGCCCUGACGUCCUCAAUAGGCUAAAAGUCAAUCUAUUCAAAUCCAAUCAUAAACACCGUGAUCAACUCAUGGUCAAUCUGAAUGGGCUUGUGUUGCGGUAUCCCUUAGUCUACAUAGGUCAUGAGCUGCGUCUGCUCUGAUACCAUUUAUCACAACCUAGGACUCCAUCCAAAAAGGCUAGCUGAAACGGAUUAUUUGGAUUUCUUGGCCAUGUAUAAAUAUCCAAGAUCUUCUUAGCGAAGAACCGAGAUGAGACUAAAUACAUGCCCGCACGGACCCUCAAAUGAGUGAGUGUUUUAUUUUAGAAAUUCUCACAUGAGUUCAGACUAAAUUUCUAAAACAGAGAAGUUUUCUGCUGUCCCAUGGUAAGCACAAAAAGUAAGUUUCCUAUAUUUUAACCAUAUUAUUAACACUGGUAAAGUGUAUCUGAUAAUACAAAUUCAAUUUUUUUUUAAAAAUAAAUCUUUUCUUACCAAAAAAAUAUAUUAAAUGGUUUUCAUUGUUCGCCAGAAAUUUUGGUGUUGAGAUCUCCAUCUUUACAUCAACAGCAAAAUGAAAAAAGAAGAAGAAGAUGAGAAAUUGCAUUCAUGACUCUCAUAUAAUUACUGGAUAUCAGCUUUGCUCUUGCAGGAUAGGAAAAACAAUUGAGACAUUUCAAGCCCUUAUCAGUAGUACACUCCAAGCGAAGCCUGUUUAAUGCCUUAAAUCUUUCUUUAUGCACCAAAAAAUGUGGACGCCAUAGGUCUUCUGUUUUUUAAAAUUAAUAGUUCCUUAUGGUGCAGAUCUGGUUUAAAAUAGAUAGAUUUGCUAGUGUUGAUGGGAUAAAUAACUGAACUUUAUACUGAUGGUGGAAUCCUCGAACAUGAUGUUUCCUUCCAAUUAUCCUGUCUUGCAUAAUUUGAUGCUGUCUUAUCUUGGAAUUUCAUAAAUGAUCUGCAUUUUAGACUUCCUUCUCUUUUUUUGAUAAAACCCUUUUAGGGAACUUCUUCCAAUAAUGAUGGAUAAGCAGUAGUGUUAGGGAAUUACUUUGCUUUCAGAAUGCUGUCUUAUGUUCUUUAUCUAAUAUAAGCUGAAGAUACGCCUUAUGCUAAUGAGUUGAUUUCUAAUGUUUUCUGGUUUUGAUGUUCAACCAAUGAAUGGAAGAUAAUGGUCACCAAAAUCACAUGCGUAGGACCAGGUUUUACAAGGAAAACAACAAAAUAUGAGUGUUCCAUCCAUCCAAUGGAAUUGAGGUUCUAUCCAAUGGGAUUGUGGUUCUUGAGAGCUAAUGCGACACAUCCUGAAGUGAAAUGCACCUUCAAUCUAGAUAUCAUUGGGAUAAAGGAAAAUCCAAAUGGUCCAAUGUACACAUCUGUCAGCAUCGUGACGGAAGAGAACUAUCAUUGAGGUGAAUGUAAGUGAACUUGGUUGUUACACCUGGUGGAUAAGUUGUCUGGGGUGAGAAACUUGCUGCUCAUAAAGAGAUGUUAGAGCUUUUUUUUUUUUAUGGGAAUAAAUUUCUGAAACGUUUGUAAGUGAAGGUUGUAUGUUUUCAAGUCAUCAAUGAAAACGGGUCAUACACGCCUUUCAUUUUCUUUCUUUUGCAGUGAUUUCUUGGGAUUAAGAGCCAGUGGAAAACGUGUCUCACCCCUCGAGAAUGAGAUGCAAAAUGGAAUCACCACUCUCUUCUUAAUAUAAGCUGUUUAUUGACCCUUUCUUUCUGCCAUUUUCAAUACAGGUAAAUUUUUACACCAUUGCAUAAGCUGCUGGAGGAUGUGAUGGAUGCCAAAUUCAUCACAACCAAUCAUAUGGUAAAUUAAGCAUAUAUAUGCUUGUUAUUCCAAAUUGUUUUCUGAGGAAAAAAGCUUAUCUUUUUUUGAGGUGAGGAGAUACAGUGAGUCUUGUGGCAUCAUUUCAAGAAGCUUCAUGUGGUAUCUGAUCCUGAGCCAGGAAAUCGCGUAGUAGGUCCCCAAUGGCUAGAACCAUACUGGAACCAUCCUCAAAAGCAAGCAGAUAGCGACACGAGUGCUUUGGAAGAGCCAGCAAGGGACAUGAUCUGGUGGCUCCCUGAACAUGGAGUACAACGGUGGAAAAAGCUAGAGGCUCUUGGAACCUCAAAGUUUGAAGGAGAUGCUUCCGGAGAAUCAUUUCUGGUCGACAAGCGGCCCAAGGUCAAGUUGAUGGGACAAUGGAGACAAUUACAGAGAUGGUUACAUUGGAAGGAAGACUUCGACUUCGCUUGCCCCCGUAUAGACGUGACUGCGACCCUUUCAUACGCCCUUAUCCUUCAGACAUGGCUGGCUGUGGGGUUGUGACAGACCAAAAUAGAGACAUUAUUACCUAAAUGGUAUGCAUCGUGUGGUUACGUACGCAGUCAAUAAGAGUUGCUGGUUUCUAUGUAUUCUUUUUAUUAAGCAUGUAACUUGAUGCACUAGCAUAGAAGCUAGCGGCUGUGAUUGAUUGCGUGCACAAUUUUAUUGGUGCAUGCAAUAAUUUCUUUGA